UGUUGCACUCUCCACCUGCAAAACCAAUCGUCCGAUCUGAUAUCAGCGUUUUAAAUAUCUCCGGCACCGUCCAGACUUUCAAUGGCUCCCGUUGUUCCUAGAUCCGGUGAUGCUAUAUUCGCCAACUUUGAGCGUGUGAACGCUGAGUUGUUUACUUUGACGUAUGGAGCGAUAGUUGCUUACAGAUCUGGAAGAGGUUGAGGAAGUUAAUAAGCAGCUUGAUCAAAUGUUCAGUUGUUUUUUGUUUGAUUAGGGGUUACAAUAUUGCAGAAUCCAUAUCCAUCUACAAUAGAGAAAAAAAUACAUAAAGUUACUCAAAACGUUAAUAAGGAAAUUGAGUGAAAAGCUAUCAAAGUUAAACCAACAACAUACCGGUGUGUUGCCCUUCUUCUUCCUGACUUUAUUUUGUGAAUCACUCAUGACUUUAAUAAAUCAGCAGCUAUAUCCAAAAUCAAAACACAAUUUAAGAAACAAAUCUAAAUAAAAGCUAUCACAUUUAACUGUCAGUCAACUAAAGAAAGAAGCUGAAAUGAAGUAGAUUCCAUAAAUAUGAAGUAAUGCUUUUUCAAACAAGGAGUUGUAGUUCUAAUCUGGUUGCUCUCAUUUCCAGUGCUUAUUAUCAAGUUUAAUUAUGUUGAAAACUGUACUCAGGUCAACCACCAAUACAUGAGUUGGAAGCAAGUUUUUAAUGUUAACCAAUACAUGAGUUCUUAAUCUGAUUGAUUAUAUUAAUCAAGAAACAAAAAUCUACAUAUCAAGAAACAAAAACUCAGUUGGCGGUCAAACAAAAAUCUAAAUAAAAAUCUACAUAUCAAGAAACAACAACUAUAUCCAAAAAACAAAACGAGAUUCUGAUUAAGCAUAUCAUCAAACAGUUGGCGGUCAAACAUAAGGCAUGAUAAUGUCCGAUGAUGAAGGUCUUACCUUAACCAACUGUUUAAACAAAACGAGAUUCUGAUUAAAGUGUCUUACCUUAACCCAACUGUUUUCACGCUAUCCGAUGAUGAAGGUCGAUUAGCCAAUGUCCGAUGAUGAAGGUCGAAGGGAUGGCCGGCGUUGAAGGUCGAAGGGAUGGCAGGCGAUGAAGGUCGAAGGGGUGAGCGGCGACUAAAUUAGGAAAUUAGGGUUUGGUUAUUUUGGAGCGUGAAGUGAAGGAUGGAUUUCAAAAUUUUGGGUGUCGAUGAAGACUGAAGUCGCAUGGGUCAGGGAUAUGCUUAGAGGAGAUGAUGCGUUUGAGUUACAGGUGAAGCUUCUUAAACAAGUUCCAGAGGAAUAUCCGUACAAAGAUGACGAGUAACAUGUUUUCUUUAAUCGUUAUCUUUAUUAAUGUUUAUACAUUAUGAUUUUUGCAUUUCCGUUUUGGUUUGUAAUAAAUUGAUAACGUAUUCCUAAGUACUUUUGACUUAUGUUUUAGUUCGAGUGUUGCUGUAUUGAGGAUUUGGAUAGAACUAUUAGUGUUAUUGUUAUGGUUAUAUGAUUGUUGAUGUUUGCUUUG
rnacentral:lncRNA from 1 species